GCGGGGAUCGCCUAGCCUGGUAGGGCGCUGGAUUGCUAAUCCAGUGCGCUCUGCGCCCGGGGGUUCAAAUCCCCCUCCCCGCG
rfam:Euryarchaeota archaeon RBG_19FT_COMBO_69_17 rbg_19ft_combo_scaffold_48, whole genome shotgun sequence.